rnacentral:rRNA from 1 species
AUUGAACGCUGGCGGCAUGCUUUACACAUGCAAGUCGAACGGCAGCGCGGGCUUCGGCCUGGCGGCGAGUGGCGAACGGGUGAGUAAUACAUCGGAACGUGCCCAGUAGUGGGGGAUAGCUCGGCGAAAGCCGGAUUAAUACCGCAUACGACCUGAGGGUGAAAGCGGGGGAUCUUCGGACCUCGCGCUAUUGGAGCGGCCGGUGGCAGAUUAGCUAGUUGGUGGGGUAAAGGCCUACCAAGGCGACGAUCUGUAGCUGGUCUGAGAGGACGACCAGCCACACUGGGACUGAGACACGGCCCAGACUCCUACGGGAGGCAGCAGUGGGGAAUUUUGGACAAUGGGCGAAAGCCUGAUCCAGCAAUGCCGCGUGUGUGAUGAAGGCCUUCGGGUUGUAAAGCACUUUUGGCGGGAACGAAAAGGACUGUGCCAAUACCACGGUUCGAUGACGGUACCCGCAGAAUAAGCACCGGCUAACUACGUG